rnacentral:rRNA from 1 species
AACGAACGCUGGCGGCAUGCCUAACACAUGCAAGUCGAACGAGACCUUCGGGUCUAGUGGCGCACGGGUGCGUAACGCGUGGGAACCUGCCCUUAGGUUCGGAAUAACUCCCCGAAAGGGGUGCUAAUACCGGAUAAUGUCUUCGGACCAAAGAUUUAUCGCCUUUGGAUGGGCCCGCGUUGGAUUAGCUAGUUGGUAGGGUAAAAGCCUACCAAGGCGACGAUCCAUAGCUGGUCUGAGAGGAUGAUCAGCCACACUGGGACUGAGACACGGCCCAGACUCCUACGGGAGGCAGCAGUGGGGAAUAUUGGACAAUGGGCGAAAGCCUGAUCCAGCAAUGCCGCGUGAGCGAUGAAGGCCUUAGGGUUGUAAAGCUCUUUUACCCGGGAUGAUAAUGACAGUACCGGGAGAAUAAGCUCCGGCUAACUACGUG